AUUGAACGCUGGCGGCAGGCUUAACACAUGCAAGUCGAGCGGAGCGAGGGUGCUUGCACCUUAGCUUAGCGGCGGACGGGUGAGUAAUGCUUAGGAAUCUGCCUAUUAGUGGGGGACAACAUUCCGAAAGGAAUGCUAAUACCGCAUACGCCCUACGGGGGAAAGCAGGGGAUCUUCGGACCUUGCGCUAAUAGAUGAGCCUAAGUCGGAUUAGCUAGUUUGUGGGGUAAAGGCCUACCAAGGCGACGAUCUGUAGCGGGUCUGAGAGGAUGACCCGUCACCCUUGGACUGGAACACGGCCCAGACUCCUAGGGGAGGCAGCAGGGGGGAAUAUUGGACGAUGGGCGGAAGACGGAUCCAGCCAUGCCGCGUGUGUGAAGAAGGCCUUUUGGUUGUAAAGCACUUUAAGCGAGGAGGAGGCUCUUAAGGUUAAUACCCUUGAUGGGUGGACGUUACUCGCAGAAUAAGCACCGGCUAACUCUGUGCCAGCCGCCGCCGUAAAAC
rnacentral:rRNA from 1 species